AUAUCAAUAAGCGGAGGAAAAGAAACCAACAGGGAUUGCCUUAGUAGCGGCGAGUGAAGCGGCAAAAGCUCAAAUUUGAAAUCUGGCUCUUUCAGAGUCCGAGUUGUAAUUUGAAGAAGGUAUCUUUGGGCCUGGCUCUUGUCUAUGUUUCUUGGAACAGAACGUCACAGAGGGUGAGAAUCCCGUGCGAUGGGAUGAUCCAGGUCCAUGUAAAGUUCCUUCGAAGAGUCGAGUUGUUUGGGAAUGCAGCUCUAAGUGGGUGGUAAAUUCCAUCUAAAGCUAAAUAUUGGCGAGAGACCGAUAGCGAACAAGUACAGUGAUGGAAAGAUGAAAAGAACUUUGAAAAGAGAGUGAAAAAGUACGUGAAAUUGUUGAAAGGGAAGGGCUUGAGAUCAGACUUGGUAUUUUGUAUGUUGCUUCUUCGGGGGCGGCCUCUACAGUUUACCGGGCCAGCAUCAGUUUGGUGCGGUAGGAGAAUCGCUUGGGAAUGUGGCACGGCCUCGGUUGUGUGUUAUAGCCCUUGUGGAUACUGCCAGCCUAGACUGAGGACUGCGAUUUAUAUCUAGGAUGUUGGCAUAAUGAU
rnacentral:rRNA from 1 species